AUGUACAGCUACUUAAAAGUGUUCAUCUUAUGAGAUAACAUCUACGCUCCAACCUGCUCUGUCGCAGAAUGAGGGCCGAGACGGUGGCGAAGAGAGUCCCCACAAAGCCGUUGAGUGCCCACCAGUAGUUCUGCAGUAUGAGGCCGGCAAAAAUAAUGAGGCCACUCAGGGGGUUGUUGACAAACAUAACCUGGGCAGCUCCGCGCAGAACCCAGUCCAGUAAUUGGAGCAAGAAAAACUGUUCUGGGAAGACAAUAAAGAAGACAAAAAAAACCUGCUCGCCUCUGGACACGCUCGCGGGAGUUCCUCUCCUGCUCCUCACUCAAUCAACGAUCAACACACCUGCCGCUGAUGAGAGCUCAACGUCCUUCAUAAGCCAGUGGAUCCUGCGUUCCAGUCCCAGAACGUAACUACUUGUCUCGCACAGUCCUCUUCGUUCCCUGGAUUUCGAGCUGUGUGUCUCGUCUCCCCGGAUUCUCUCCUGUUUUCCUGCUGCCUUCCUGGAUUUGAACCUCUUGCCUAGACACGGACUCUGACGCCUCGCUCCUGCCCUUGCUUGCCCAAGGACCUCCGAACCUGCCUUGCUCCUUCUGAACUUCCGCCCCUUCCUCAACACGCACUUUAAACAGCUCCCGGUAACACUCGACAUAUAAUCGCUUCGCAAAGUCACACCGCACGUAUUUGGAUUAUUGCACACGUCAUUCUAUUAUUUUAAUAAACACGCCUAAGGCUCAGCGAUGUGCCGUCUCCUUCUCCACCGCACAUAACAAAAAUAUAGAAAAUGAAAAAAUAACCUUAGGGAAAAAAAUUAGGGUUAAAACAUUUGUAUUAGGUACAACACUUAAAACCUUUAUCACAUCAGUAUGUGGAAUUAAAUGAUGGAAUGAACCAAGCAAAGAAGUCAACGUACUAAUAUGAUAGUUUGUGUUUAUUAACGUGGUCAUGUUCUGUUCUUUUUUCUACGUUUAAAACACUUUCCUGUGGUCUACAUAACAAUGACGGUUCUUUAGUCAAAAGUUUGUAUUAUGGUUUACAGACCAUCUUCAAAUUGCUUUCUGAUCAUCUUUUCUGAACGCGCCUGUGGGUGGGCGUGGCCUGCGGACCUGCCGCGAAGCGGGUGUGCCAGGGCCGGCUUCGAGAUCAGCGGCAGGUGCGUAGAUAACACAGCUGAGAGUGUUUGUCUGAAGGCAGCAGUCGGUAAGGGGAAGUUGAUGGUGGAGAGUGAGCAUGAGCGAGAGCGGGUGAAGGAGUUGAUA